AUUGAACGCUGGCGGCAGGCCUAACACAUGCAAGUCGAGCGGAUGAAGGGAGCUUGCUCCUGGAUUCAGCGGCGGACGGGUGAGUAAUGCCUAGGAAUCUGCCUGGUAGUGGGGGAUAACGUCCGGAAACGGGCGCUAAUACCGCAUACGUCCUGUGGGAGAAAGUGGGGGAUCUUCGGACCUCACGCUAUCAGAUGAGCCUAGGUCGGAUUAGCUAGUUGGUGGGGUAAAGGCCUACCAAGGCGACGAUCCGUAACUGGUCUGAGAGGAUGAUCCGUCACACGGGAAGUGAGGAAGGGCACCGACACCGACGGGAGGCAGCAGUGGGGAAUAUUGGACAAUGGGCGAAAGCCUGAUCCAGCCAAGCCGCGUGUGUGAAGAAGGUCUUCGGAUUGUAAAGCACUUUAAGUUGGGAGGAAGGGCAGUAAGUUAAUACCUUGCUGUUUUGACGUUACCAACAGAAUAAGCACCGGCUAACUUCGUG
rnacentral:rRNA from 1 species